GGUGGAGCGGAAGUCACUCCCUGAGGCAGUGGCGACAGCGCCGGCGAGAGGAUGAACAACAAGUUCGACGCUUUGAAAGAUGAUGACAGUGGGGACCAUGAUCAGAAUGAAGAAAACAGCACACAGAAAGAUGGUGAGAAGGAAAAAACGGAACGAGACAAGAAUCAAAGCAGUAGCAAGAGAAAGGUGAGUGUUGGCUGCACAGAUGUAGUUGCCUUUGAACUUGAGACUUUAUUAUCUUGUGGAAUAUG
rnacentral:sRNA from 1 species